rnacentral:tRNA from 1 species
UCCAGGGUAGCCUAGUGGACAUGGCACCUGCCCGGUAAGCAGAAGGUUGUGGGUUCGAUUCCCGUCUCUGGAC